CCCAGUGCUUGUUAUCAUGUGUUCUGCCAUUCCAUCCUACCAUGCAAGCAUUGGUGUGUAACACACCUAUUUUGAUAUGAAUUUUCCAAAUGUUUAGAUUUAUGAAGUAUAUGAAAAAUGCAUCUUGUUUGAUAUGUGUGUAUACGAUGUAUUUUGUAGAAUUUGUUUGUCCCGUGAAGUGCGACGUUCUAAAUCCAUGUGUUAACAAUAACGCUGGAUGCAAAGGUGUCUGCGCUCGUAUGGGCAUGCAUCACUUCCAUUCCUUUUGUAGGGAAUCACUCAAUCCUCCAAAGUGUUGUUGCAUAGAACUAUUAACUUGAUGGUUCCCAUGCUCGAGCUAUGCAAUGCUAAAUAAUACCAUACAUAUGUAAUGUUCACUACUCUCAAUAAACAUGCUUGUUUUGGGGGAAAGUUGCUAUCUCACAUGUGCAAACAAAUAUAAUGACGUAAUG
rnacentral:lncRNA from 1 species